rnacentral:rRNA from 1 species
UACGGUGGGGGCAAGCGUUGCUCGGAAUCAUUGGGCGUAAAGCGCACGUAGGCGGCCCAGCAAGUCGGGUGUGAAAGCCCUCGGCUUAACCGAGGAAGUGCAUUCGAAACUACUGAGCUUGAAUACUGGAGAGGAUCGCGGAAUUCCCGGUGUAGAGGUGAAAUUCGUAGAUAUCGGGAGGAACACCAGUGGCGAAGGCGGCGAUCUGGACAGAUAUUGACGCUGAGGUGCGAAAGCGUGGGGAGCAAACAGG